rnacentral:lncRNA from 1 species
UGGUACUUAGUUCUUCUUCUUUUGCUAUCAUUUAUGAUGAGGGUACGGAUCCUCAAGUGUUGAUAUCCAACAUCAAGAUAUGUGCGAGGGAGGAGAGGGAGGCAGGCGCACCAAAAGUGAAGAUGAAGGAUACAAGUUAGAAGAAUGUCUUGUGUGCAAGGGGCAGCCAACAACAAUGAUGAUAUGCCUAGGUUGCACCACAAGUUAAGUACGAGUAUGAGACGCAUCAGGACAGCCUACGACGAGUCCGACACAUCUAAGGGGCACCCGGACCUGCGAGUCCUAGUUUAAGCCAAGUCCUAUUCGGAUUGGUUGUUUGAGUUUGAGUCGAACCUAGUUUGAGUCUGAGUCCAUUUGUGUGUUUGGCCGCCCCUCGCCUAUAUAUACAAGGGGUACGCCUAGGGUUAGAGUUAGACCACGUUUAGAUUAUUCGGAACCUUUCGUUGAAUUGCUGAAAGCAUUCAUCUGAAAUUAUAUUCCUCUUUGAUUCGAUCAGGAAUUUACCUUCACCACUUUGUUUCAAUCUGGUGCUUUUGCUACUGAAGAUUCAAGUGUUAUCUAUUAUUCCAUUGGGAAUUAGUAGAUUGCAGACCGCUUCGUGGUCGGCAGCUACGUGCGCAAGCGUGUGGUGUUGCGAAUAUCAACUAGGGUUGAGAAUUAUUGCAUUGGCAACGACUGAACAGCCAGAGAUUCGUUAGCGUCUCACGAGUUAUCAUCCAUCCACAACGAGCUCAACGAGAAGAUUGGGCCUCCCCUUAUCAUCUCGGUACCAAAUUGCUAGAAAAAAAAAGGAAAAGAAAAAAAGGCAAGAGCAGAUUUGUUUAUGCACGUGUAGCCAAGAAAUUCAGAUCCAACUUCACGGCACGUCCCAGCAAGUCCCGGCAAGUCUUGGCAAGUUCCGAGUUCCGAGAAGUUUCUGGCUUCACGAGGACAACAAGAAAAGGACUAAAAGGAAAAAUAGACAUUGGCUUCCAACAGAUUGCACAUACGGGUGUACUCAGCUUAUUUGGACUCUUAGCGUACAGGAAUUUGUCCUAUUUGUUCGGGGUGAUAUGCGUGGUGUGCUUCAUUGCAUUCGGAGGAUGCUUUAUGUCUCAAUCAGGUUGGUGGCGCCGACAACGGAAGUGGCGCCAACAACAAAUGACAACUAGCUAGUAUGUGCAUGACAUGACAUGGCAAUCAAGACCAACAACUUGGCAACUACCCUCGAAAAUCAUCUUUCACAAAAUGUGAAUGUGAAUGCACGGAUGGAUUCUCCAUGGAAAGGCAUGGCCACUCACGAAAUUUCAAAUCCGUUUGAAAAGGUUUGACUUGUGUUGACCAGAUAUGACUUGGUUUUACUCUUGCCUCGGGAGAUCCAACGGUGACGGAUUGUAGUUCCGACGCUUGGUUUAAAAUCUAUAGUUUUUGAAAUAAAAUUGUACCAAUUCAAUCCACGUACAACCAAACUCAUGGCAUAUCAUGCUCCAACGCAUG